rnacentral:rRNA from 1 species
AGUGAACGCUGGCGGUAGGCCUAACACAUGCAAGUCGAACGGCAGCACAGUAAGAGCUUGCUCUUACGGGUGGCGAGUGGCGGACGGGUGAGGAAUACAUCGGAAUCUACUUUUUCGUGGGGGAUAACGUAGGGAAACUUACGCUAAUACCGCAUUCGACCUACGGGUGAAAGCAGGGGAUCUUCGGACCUUGCGCGAUUGAAUGAGCCGAUGUCGGAUUAGCUAGUUGGCGGGGUAAAGGCCCACCAAGGCGACGAUCCGUAGCUGGUCUGAGAGGAUGAUCAGCCACACUGGAACUGAGACACGGUCCAGACUCCUACGGGAGGCAGCAGUGGGGAAUAUUGGACAAAGGGCGCAAGCCUGAUCCAGCCAUACCGCGUGGGUGAAGGAGGCCUUCGGGUUGUAAAGCCCUUUUGUUGGGAAAGAAAAGCAGCAGGUUAAUACCCCGCUGUUCUGACGGUACCCAAAGAAUAAGCACCGGCUAACUUCGUG